AUUUUUACCUAGCGUAGGAAUUAACCAUAAUCAAGAAGGUGGUUAACCCUCAGGAUGAUGCCUUUCCAUUGUACUUCGGACAGGCUGACUCCUGCCAUAAUUAUCUCAAAUGCAAGUGAUUCGGGCGCACAAUUUUGGAUUUAGUCGGGAUUGGGAAUUACCAGUCCCGC